rnacentral:lncRNA from 1 species
AUGAAACCCUCAGAAAGCCAUCUGCGAAAUCCCCGCGGGCGCCCCCCAACUACAAGGCCACUCCAACUACCAGAGCCCAGCCAGCGACAAGCCUCGGAGGACUGCAUCUCCCAGAGCCCCGUGGGCGCCCGCCUCAGACUGCAUCUCCCAGAACCCCGUGGGCGCCUGCCUCAGACUGCAUCUCCCAGAGGCCCGUGGGCGCCUGCCUCAGGCUCCAUCUCCCAGAGCCCCGUGGGUGUCCAGCUUCCUAGGACUCCGUCUCACGGAGGGCCCUGCUGGCAUGCCCUCUUUGAGGACUCCAGCUUCCAGAGCCCCCUGAGCAUGAAAACCUCAGAAAGCCAUCUGCGAAAGCCCCGCGGGCGCCCCCCGCGACUCCAACUACCAGAGCCCAGCCAGCGACAAGCCUCGGAGGACUCCAUCUCCCAGGGGUCCCCGCGGGCAUCAUACGUCAGAGGACCGCGUCUUCCAGAUCGCACUGUGGUCUCCCGCUUCAGACUCCAUCUCCCAGAGGUCCCCCGCGCACUGUGUAUCAGAGGACCGCGUCUCCCAGAACUCCACGCCAUCUCCCAGAGCCCAGCGGGCAACAAACCUCAGAGGACUAAAUCUCCCAGGGUUCCCCGCGGGCAUCAGACGUCAGAGGACCGCGUCUCCCAGAAUGCACUGUGGUCUCCCGCUUCAGACUCCAUCUCCCAGAGGUCCCCGCGCUCACUGUGCGUCAGAGGGCCACGUCUGCCUGAACACCUCGCGGGCGCUCAUCUCAGACUAACUUUCCAGGGUCCUGUGAGCGCCAGCCUCAGACUCCAUCUCCCAGAGUUCCUAGCAGGAUGCUCACGUCAGAGGACCGCUUCUCCCAGAACACCUUGCAGGCGCUCGCCUCAGACUCCAUCUCCAGCGGCAAGCUUCAAAGGACUCCAUCUCCCAGCGAUCCCCGCGGGCGCGCACACACACACACGCACACACACACACACACACACACACGUUGUCCUCAGAACGAUGGAGCCCUAG